UACGGAGGGGGCUAGCGUUGUUCGGAAUUACUGGGCGUAAAGCGCACGUAGGCGGCUUUGUAAGUUAGAGGUGAAAGCCCGGGGCUCAACCCCGGAACUGCCUUUAAGACUGCAUCGCUUGAAUCCAGGAGAGGUGAGUGGAAUUCCGAGUGUAGAGGUGAAAUUCGUAGAUAUUCGGAAGAACACCAGUGGCGAAGGCGACAUACUGGCUCAUUACUGACGCUGAGGCGCGAAAGCGUGGGGAGCAAACAGG
rnacentral:rRNA from 1 species